UACGGCUGAUGAACUGAAUGCCGAAUCAAACCCUUGUUCUCAUCUCCAUCUUUGUCUCUUGUCUCUCUCUCUCUCUCUCUCUUUGAACUUUGAAGACAACGAACGGUGAGAGGCAUGAUAAGCAACGACGUUAACUGUGGAGAGUGUCGACGUUGAAAAUCGAUGGGGACCUAGAGACGUCGACAAUCGGCAACUACUUAGCGAGGAUUUCAUCUAAUUGACGUUCAUUGAUCUCCGACAAUGGCAGUAUCUACUCUUUCCGUUCAUUCUUCGACGAUACGACGAGACUGGUUCCGCCGCUUUCAUCUACCAGUGCGGUCAUUGCUCUCAAUCACUAGCGCCACUAGCUUCACUAUUCUCAAGUGGAUGGUUUGCUGCUAUACAUGGCUGGGUUUAGCUGUUGCACUUGGCUGAGUUCUUGCUGAAUUAUGUUGUCUCACUUGGCUAAGUUAUUCUUCAGCAAACAAGGUUGUGCCAUAGGUGUUUUGAUUGUGUUUCUCCCGUGAGUUUCUUUGUUUGUGCUGCUCUUUUGUUCUGCUGGUUUCUCACAAUGGUGCUUUUGAUGUAAAUAAACUACAUAAGCUAAGAGCCAAAGGUGGGAACAAAACUGAUACUGUUGUUAACAUGAUUUCCAAAGAAGAGCCAAAGAAAAAGAUAACAAAAAAGAAAGAAGAAAGGGUGGUUUUCUUCCAUGUUCCAAAGAUUCGAGGUUAGAUAUGGACGUGUUUGAUAAUCUGGAAAGUAGAAGCUUGCUCAUUUUUGUGUUUUUGUUCAUAUUACCUUACAUGUAUUUUGAUUGCAUUGUAAAUUUUAUAUUUUUGUGGGUAUUACGGGACAUGUUUGGUAAUCCACACUUGAUAUUAUAUUUUUGUGGAUAUUAGUAGACAUGUUUUUUGUGAAUAUUAGGAGACGUGUUUGGUAAUUCGCAUGCAGUUGAUAUUGUAUUUUUGUAGAUAUAAUGCUGAAAUUCGACUGUGGUAUUUAUGAAAAUGAACAUAUUUUUGGAU